CAGUAGCCGCGGGAAAACGUAGGUGGCAAGCGUUAUCCGGAAUUAUUGGGCGUAAAGCGCGCGUAGGCGGUUUUUUAAGUCUGAUGUGAAAGCCCACGGCUCAACCGUGGAGGGUCAUUGGAAACUGGAAAACUUGAGUGCAGAAGAGGAAAGUGGAAUUCCAUGUGUAGCGGUGAAAUGCGCAGAGAUAUGGAGGAACACCAGUGGCGAAGGCGACUUUCUGGUCUGUAACUGACGCUGAUGUGCGAAAGCGUGGGGAUCAAACAGGAUUAGAGACCCCAGUAGUCCCUGUCUCUUAUAC
rnacentral:rRNA from 1 species